GAUGAACGCUGACAGAAUGCUUAACACAUGCAAGUCAACUUGAAUUUGGGUUUUUAACUUAGGUUUGGGUGGCGGACGGGUGAGUAACGCGUAAAGAACUUGCCUCACAGCUAGGGACAACAUUUGGAAACGAAUGCUAAUACCUAAUAUUAUGAUAAUAGGGCAUCCUAUAAUUAUGAAAGCUAUAAGCGCUGUGAGAGAGCUUUGCGUCCCAUUAGCUAGUUGGAGAGGUAACGGCUCACCAAGGCGAUGAUGGGUAGCCGGCCUGAGAGGGUGAUCGGCCACAAGGGGACUGAGACACGGCCCUUACUCCUACGGGAGGCAGCAGUGGGGAAUAUUGGACAAUGGACCAAGAGUCUGAUCCAGCAAUUCUGUGUGCACGAUGAAGUUUUUCGGAAUGUAAAGUGCCUUCAGUUGGGAAGAAAGAAAUGACGGUACCAACAGAAGAAGUGACGGCUAAAUACGUG
rnacentral:rRNA from 1 species